UACAGGGGGUGCAAACGUUGCUCGGAAUUAUUGGGCGUAAAGCGCGCGUAGGCGGCCGCUUAAGUCGGAUGUGAAAGCCCCUGGCUCAACUGGGGAAGUGCACCCGAAACUGAGUGGCUUGAGUACUAAAGAGGGUCGCGGAAUUCCCGGUGUAGAGGUGAAAUUCGUAGAUAUCGGGAGGAACACCGGUGGCGAAGGCGGCGACCUGGGUCGAGACUGACGCUGAGGCGCGAAAGCGUGGGGAGCAAACAAG
rnacentral:rRNA from 1 species